GAUGAACGCUGGCGGCGUGCCUAAUACAUGCAAGUCGAGCGAACGGACGAGAAGCUUGCUUCUCUGAUGUUAGCGGCGGACGGGUGAGUAACACGUGGAUAACCUACCUAUAAGACUGGGAUAACUUCGGGAAACCGGAGCUAAUACCGGAGAAUAUUUUGAACCGCAUGGGUCAAAAGUGAAAGACGGUCUUGCUGUCACUUAUAGAUGGAUCCGCGCUGCAUUAGCUAGUUGGUAGGGUAACGGCUUACCAAGGCAACGAUGCAUAGCCGACCUGAGAGGGUGAUCAGCCACACUGGAACUGAGACACGGUCCAGACUCCUACGGGAGGCAGCAGUAGGGAAUCUUCCGCAAUGGGCGAAAGCCUGACGGAGCAACGCCGCGUGAGUGAUGAAGGUCUUCGGAUCGUAAAACUCUGUUAUUAGGGAAGAACAUAUGUGUAAGAAACUGUGCACAUCUUGACGGUACCUAAUCAGAAAGCCACGGCUAACUACGUG
rnacentral:rRNA from 1 species